AAAAAAGAAACAAAAUACAUAUGCAAAAAAAGAAAGAAAGAAAGAAGGAAAGACCACUUGGGACUCGUCCUUUUUAUCCUUCGCUCUCUGUCUCAACAGCACUCGAUCUUUCUCUCCUCUCUCUCUCUC
rnacentral:ribozyme from 1 species